GACGAACGCUGGCGGCGUGCUUAACACAUGCAAGUCGAGCGGAGCGGCGCACGGGUGAGUAACGCGUGAGUAACUGCCCCCCUCUCUGGGAUAACAGUUGGAAACGGCUGCUAAUACCGGCUAGUGGGGGAUGACUCGCGUCCUAUCAGCUUGUUGGUGGGGUAGGGGCCUCCCAAGGCGACGACGGGUAGCCGGCCUGAGAGGGCGACCGGCCAAAUUGGGGUGAGAAACGGCCCAAACGCGUAAGGGAGGCAGCAGGGGGGAAGAGUGCACAAUGGGGGAAACACGGAUGCAGAAAGGCGCGUGCGGGAGGACGGCCUUCGGGUUGUAAACCGCUGUCAGCCAUGACGCGGUAGGGGCAGAAGAAGCACCGGAUAACUACGUGACAGAAGACGCGGUAAUAC
rnacentral:rRNA from 1 species